UGCUUUGGCAGCACGUAACUAAAAGUGGAGCGCUACAGGGAAGAUUAGCAUGGCCCCCAGGCAAGGAUGACGGGUGCAGUCGUGAAGGAUUUCCUAUUACU
rnacentral:snRNA from 1 species